UAUCAUCAGCCAUAUAUCAUUUUAAAUAUUAAAAUAGUAGACAUAGAUUUCUAUAUUAUAAAUAGAUAGAUUAGAUCUAUAAAAUAUAAUUUUACAAACUUAGAAAUGAUUGAUUUUAUUUUUAAUUGAUCAGCCUUCUAGACUAGAUCUAGCAUCUCUAGCUAGACUCUAACCUGUAGUUUGUAGAUCUUGGAAUUGGAUCGAAAUUCACCUUCCUAAAUUGUCUCUAAAGUCUGUAGCUGAUUUGAGAGGCCCAACGAGGCAAGAGUCUAUUACUAUUAGUACUCUGUCUCUUGAUCUAUCUAGUAGGCCUACUUGGCUAGUGCAUUAGCCUUAGCCAUAGUGUAGUCAAAUCUUGACAACUAGUCUUCUAGAUCUAAGCUUCUAGAAUAAUUAGAUCUAGAUCCAGUUUAGAUUUAGAAUAUAAAAGUAUUUUACUAGCUAAAAUACUAAAUCUACUGAUCUAAAUUCUAGAUAGAUAUAUUGAUCCAGUUUAGAUUUGGAAUAUAAAAAUAUUUACUAGCUAAAAUUCUAAAUCUACUGAUCUAUACUUAAUAUUUUAGAUAUUAUAUGACAUCUACAAAAAUUAUUAUUAAGAUAUAAUUAUAGAAUCUAGACUAGUUAUUUAUGUACAUAAAAUAUAUAAAUAAAAGAUAAAAUUUAUGCAGGCCUAGAUCCCAUAAAUUUAUAAUUGAUCCAGAUCUAUCAGUAAAGUUACCUUCGAUGGGAAGUUUUACCCAAUCUAAUCUAUACAAGACAAUUUAUAAUCCAUGCCUCGCCUACACCCCAUACAUUAAAUAAUAGUUCCCAUUCCAUGCCAUGCCCAGACCCAUGAGUUCAUGAAAUAAUAAAUGAUGUGGUGUCAAGUUGGAUCUAUCCCCAGAAAUUCAGCACUUUAAUAUAAAACUCUCAUAUCUAGUUAAUUAUUUGCUAUGACACUCUGAUCAACUUGGACUUGUGUGAUACAUAUAUGUUUCUUAUCAGAUUUAAUGAAUGAAGUUUUGGUGCAUUUUAAGGCUACAAAAGUAUCAUCAGGUGCAUUCUAACCAUUGGUAUUUUUCCUGGCAACAUUUCUAUUCUAGUCUGUGAUAAUUUAUAAAUUUAAAAAAAUGUUUGUAAUGUUUCAGUUAUUAACAAGUAGAACCAUGCCAACCAGUUCUGAUGAUGUACCAGAAUGGCUCAAGGAUCAUACUUAUACUAUUUCUACUCUCUGGGCAGACAUUAAUAAUAUUGGCAUCCAUUCAAUAUUUAUUUUAUGUUUGGAAAUGCAAGAAAAAGGCAUGCAUUCCUGACAAGUCAAUGAUUGGUUGCACCUCUUAAAGAUAACUUUCUGUUAUGAGAAAAGAUGAGAUUCUUGGACUCCUGCAUAGCACCACCAGAAAGGAAAAUCCCAUCAUGUUGCAAAAUAAAAGUCUUGGACCAAUUUUAAUUUAAGAUAUAUAUAUUAUACUGUAAGCUCUAUACAUAUUUAUGUAUAUCCUGUCAUUCAGCCAACAGGUUUGGAUUUAGUAUUUCUUUAAAUCUGUUUGAUAUUGUACUUGAAAACUAUUAAUCUGAGCCCCAUUAAAACAAUAGGGAGUGCAGUGAAUGAGUGGUAAAGCACUUGGCUUCUGAACUGAGGGUUCCUGGGUUCAAUUAAGACUGGGAUUUUCAAUUUCAGAAUUCAAAAGGCUAGGGAUACAUGGCAAUAGUAAGGAAUAAGUAAAGGCAGUUUGGGGAUCCAUGGCUGAAUGGUUAAGUCAUGGGUUUGAAUCUCUGUGAAGACUCGGAUUAAAUUUUUUUUUAGAUUUUUGGGUGCCCCUGAGUCCACCUAACUCUAAUGGGUAGCUGACUUUUGUUUUGGAAAGUAAAGAUGGUUGGUUGUUGUGCUGGCCACAUGAUGCACUGGCCAAAGAAUCAAAUGACCUUAACAUCAUCGGCCCUAUAGAUUGUGACGUCUGAAAUGGGAUUUUUUUUUCAAAAGGUGGUUGGUUGUUGUGCUGGGUACAUGACACCCUCGCUAACCAUGGGGCACAGAAACUGAUAAACUUUAUAUCAUCUGCCCCAUAGAUUGCAAGAUAUGUAAGGGAAAUUUUACUUUUUUAAAAUUAAAAUAAGAAUCUAUCAAAAGUAAACAUAAAAUAUGGUGCAUUCUCCUUAAAACUAAAGCCUGGUGCGAAGGUUUAAAAU